UGCCAGCAGCCGCGGUAAUACGGAGGGGGCAAGCGUUGUUCGGAAUUACUGGGCGUAAAGGGUGCGCAGGCGGCGUCGCCAGUCAGGUGUGAAAUCCCCGGGCUCAACCCGGGAACUGCACUUGAUACUGCGAUGCUAGAGUUCGGAAGAGGGUAGUGGAAUUCCGAGUGUAGGAGUGAAAUCCGUAGAUAUUCGGAGGAACACCAGUGGCGAAGGCGGCUUUCUGGACCGAUACUGACGCUGAGACGCGAAAGCGUGGGGAGCAAACAGGAUUAGAUA
rnacentral:rRNA from 1 species